rnacentral:rRNA from 1 species
UACGAAGGGGGCUAGCGUUGUUCGGAAUUACUGGGCGUAAAGCGUGCGCAGGCGGUUCGUUAAGUCAGAUGUGAAAUCCCCGGGCUCAACCUGGGAACUGCAUUUGUGACUGCACGGCUGGAGUGCGGCAGAGGGGGAUGGAAUUCCGCGUGUAGCAGUGAAAUGCGUAGAUAUGCGGAGGAACACCGAUGGCGAAGGCAAUCCCCUGGGCCUGCACUGACGCUCAUGCACGAAAGCGUGGGGAGCAAACAGG